GGGCGAGUGGCGGAACCGGCAGACGCAGCGGACUUAAAAUCCGUGGACCGAAAGGUUUUGAGGGUUCGAGUCCCUCCUCGCCCA
rnacentral:tRNA from 4 species